GCGCUCGUAGCUCAACUGGAUAGAGCGUCGGCCUCCGAAGCCGAAGGUUGUGGGUUCAAAUCCCGCCGAGCGCACCA
rnacentral:tRNA from 1 species